UGAGAGUUCAAGAGGGCGUGAAACCGUUUAGAAGUAAACGGAUGGACCCGACAGUGAGUCGGCAGCAUUCAGCUCUUUGUCCCACCGUUGCCCCGUUUGGUUUCGGACUUGAUGGACGCAUAUGUGGUCAAGGAGUGCAUUUGCUGUCGAUGCGCACUAGGGCCUGUGACGGCGCUGGAAUAAAGCGGGCAAUUGCCGGCCACACCUGUGUGGUGUUCCCGUUGUCCGCUGUAACCGAGUUGCUGUGACAGGAGAUUAUUGCACGGGGCCCGCCUCUACUCGAGCACCCGGAGAGCCUUGCCAAAUGAAAUGCAAUUCCUUGCUCGCAAGACUUUGCGAUGCCUGGCUCGGUGAUUUGGGUUGUUUUCGAGAUGGCCCUGAACCCUGGUGAUUUUGUCGGCCACCCAUCCGACCCGUCUUGAAACACGGACCAAGGAGUCUAACAUGUGCGCGAGUCAAUGGGUGGGAAAACCCAGAGGCGAAAUGAAAGUGAAGCCCGGUUCGGCUGGGUGACAUGGGACCCUUUGUCGUGGGUGGCAUCGGAGCACCAUGGUCCCGUUCAUGCUGCAUCGUCAGCGGGGCGGAGAUUGAGCGUACACGUUGGGACCCGAAAGAUGGUGAACUAUGCCUGAGCAGGAUGAAGCCAGAGGAAACUCUGGUGGAGGUCCAUAGCGAUUCUGACGUGCA
rnacentral:rRNA from 4 species